rnacentral:rRNA from 1 species
CAAAUCAGCACGGCCCUUACGUCCGGGGCGACACACGUGUUACAAUGGGGGCNACAMCCGGUUGMUACCUAGCGAUAGGAUGCUAAUCUGUAAAGCCCCUCCCAGUUCGGAUUGGAGUCUGCAACCCGACUCCAUGAAGUUGGAUUUGCUAGUAAUCGCGCAUCAGCCAUGGCACGGUGAAUACGUUCCCGGRCCUUGUACACACCGCCCGUCAAGCCAUGGAAGYUCCGGGGYACCUGAAGUACGUGACCGGCAAGGAGCGUCCUAGGGUAAACCUAGUAAACUGGGG